rnacentral:rRNA from 1 species
UACGAAGGGGGCUAGCGUUGUUCGGAUUUACUGGGCGUAAAGCGCACGUAGGCGGAUCGAUCAGUCAGGGGUGAAAUCCCAGAGCUCAACUCUGGAACUGCCUUUGAUACUGUCGAUCUGGAGUAUGGAAGAGGUGAGUGGAAUUCCGAGUGUAGAGGUGAAAUUCGUAGAUAUUCGAAGGAACACCAGUGGCGAAGGCGGCUCACUGGUCCAUUACUGACGCUGAGGUGCGAAAGCGUGGGGAGCAAACAGG